ACCAAGACCGAUCAGAUUAAUUCAAGAGGAUAUCUUGCAAAUGAACAGCUUGAUGAACAAAUGACUGGACCAAAGGAUCUGAAAACAAAAUGCAUACGUCAUAGAAACAACCGUGCAAAGGAAGCAGUGAAAAGAAAAUUAAAAAAUGCUGGAAGCA